rnacentral:rRNA from 1 species
UUUAUCCUACGGGAGGCAGCAGUGGGGAGUAUUGCGCAAUGGACGAAAGUCUGACGCAGCGACGCCGCGUGAGGGAUGAAGGUUUUCGGAUCGUAAACCUCUGUCAGGAGGGAAGAAAGCGCAUGGCGCCAAUCAGCCAUGCGUUGACGGUACCUCCAAAGGAAGCGCCGGCUAACUCCGUGCCAGCAGCCGCGGUAAUACGGAGGAUGCGAGCGUUAUCCGGAUUUAUUGGGUUUAAAGGGUGCGUAGGCGGUCCGGAAAGUCAGCGGUAAAAGCCCGGGUCUCAACCCCGGCGAGCCGUUGAA